GAUGAACGCUGACAGAAUGCUUAACACAUGCAAGUCAACCUGAAUUUGGGUUUUUAACUUAGGUUUGGGUGGCGGACGGGUGAGUAACGCGUAAAGAACUUGCCUCACAGCUAGGGACAACAUUUGGAAACGAAUGCUAAUACCUAAUAUUAUGAUAAUAGGGCAUCCUAUAAUUAUGAAAGCUAUAAGCGCUGUGAGAGAGCUUUGCGUCCCAUUAGCUAGUUGGAGAGGUAACGGCUCACCAAGGCGAUGAUGGGUAGCCGGCCUGAGAGGGUGAUCGGCCACAAGGGGACUGAGACACGGCCCUUACUCCUACGGGAGGCAGCAGUGGGGAAUAUUGGAAAAUGGACCAAGAGUGUGAUCAAGCAAUUCUGUGUGCACGAUGAAGUUUUUCGGAAUGUAAAGUGCUUUCAGUUGGGAAGAAAGAAAUGACGGUACCAACAGAAGAAGUGACGGCUAAAUACGUG
rnacentral:rRNA from 1 species